rnacentral:rRNA from 1 species
UACGAAGGGGGCUAGCGUUGCUCGGAAUCACUGGGCGUAAAGCGCACGUAGGCGGAUUGUUAAGUCAGGGGUGAAAUCCUGGAGCUCAACUCCAGAACUGCCUUUGAUACUGGCGAUCUCGAGUCCGGGAGAGGUGAGUGGAACUGCGAGUGUAGAGGUGAAAUUCGUAGAUAUCGGGAGGAACACCGGUGGCGAAGGCGGCGACCUGGGUAGAUACUGACGCUGAGGUGCGAAAGCGUGGGGAGCAAACAGG